GACGAACGCUGGCGGCGUGCUUAACACAUGCAAGUCGAACGGAAAGGCCCUGCUUUUGUGGGGUGCUCGAGUGGCGAACGGGUGAGUAACACGUGAGUAACCUGCCCUUGACUUUGGGAUAACUUCAGGAAACUGGGGCUAAUACCGGAUAGGAGCUCCUGCUGCAUGGUGGGGGUUGGAAAGUUUCGGCGGUUGGGGAUGGACUCGCGGCUUAUCAGCUUGUUGGUGGGGUAGUGGCUUACCAAGGCUUUGACGGGUAGCCGGCCUGAGAGGGUGACCGGUCACAAUGGGACUGAGAGACGGCCCAGACUCCUACGGGGGGCAGCAGUGGGGAAUAUGGCACAAUGGGCGGAAGCCUGAGGCAGAAACGCCGCGUGCGGGAUGACGGCCUUCGGGUUGUAAACCGCUUUCGCCUGUGACGAAGCGGGAGUGACGGUAAUGGGUAAAGAAGCACCGGCUAACUACGUG
rnacentral:rRNA from 1 species